UAACUGCUAACAGUCAAUAUUACCUAGUAAAAAUUAGCAUACUUGGUUUGCCAACUUUCCAAUUCAAAUGAACGUUAGCUAACGUUAGCUUGCUAAGGAGAAAGGUAGACGGGUAUAAACAAAUGAACAUUACCUUUUAAUACUGCGGUUGAUAUAUGAUUCAUGCCUGGACAUGUGUCAUCCAUUCCAUCUUCAUUCAUGGUGUUGUUAGAUGCCUCAAAUAUUUGGACCAUCUUUGACUUUUUAGUUAUAGGUCUCCUUUAUGUAGCUAGAUAAUGUGACAACGUACGUCAGUUAAGCAAUAUCACACGAGUGGGAGUGCUGAAUAUCAGCACGGCUGUGAUUCGGUCUUAGGUACGAGGCCGCAGUCCGAAGAUAAUAAUAUUCAAUAUAACAGCAGGACCUCGAGUGUGAUAUUGCUUUUAUACAACAGUUCUACAAACGCAAUUUAUUAGUUAACAGUAAUAAGCGACAACAGAUUAUGAUUUGUUUAUUUAUUUCAUCAUUUAUUUGGCUCCGCCAACACACAUAGUUCCCCAACUGGUCUGGGACUGGACUGUUGCCAAGCACCACAUAUACAUUUUCCUCCACACUAGCUUGCUACUGCUACUUUAUGUAGGUCUACACGUUACCGUCCUCUCCUGACGACCAUUCAUCAAAUGUUAUUUGUGGAAACAUGUUCAUCUUUGCAGUGCGAAGUUUGUUACAAUUUAAGAUCGAUAACAAUCGUUAAUGUAAUUAACGGUUAUUAGAACAGCUGUAAAGUGGAGUGAUACAUAUAUAGUUAAAAGUCCCAAUGCUGUUGUACUCUACUCCAAUCAAAUGACUUGGUCGUAUUAUGUAUACCUGUGAACAUCAUUUUCAGUUCUUUCUGUCCUUUUCAUCGAAAGCAGUGGGAACGUUUUACUGCGUUUGCUUUUAGUAACGUUCAAGAUGCUUUGGCGGUGCAUUAUCUGCUGCGUUUUUAUUACUUUUUCCAUUGAAACUGUUAUUGAGCCAUAUCAAUAGAUUGCACAGUCGCAGCCCUGAUUUCUGGUUGCUCUGUGGUAUUGACGGAUGCACUGAGGAAUGUAGAGUGUACAAUUCCUUCUAUCAUCAUCAUGUAAAGAGAAACCACCUUCAAAACCUACUUGAAGGCACCCGACCAGAUGAACAGCCAUCAGAGGAAAGCCAAGUACCACCAGAACAAGACAACAUUCAACCCGAUCAGCUUCUAGCUAACUCCAGCAUCACUGAUCAGCAACUCAAUACAUCUGACUCAGAUGAAAGGCAAAGGGGCAUUGACCAACAGAUCUGUCACAGUGCAACAAAAAGUCGUGAAUGACAUUGUUGCUGGGGUACAGCAGUAUCAAUCAUCACUAUUGGACAACCUCAGGAAGCAGAUGGAGGCAGUGGUAAAGAAGAAUUUUCAGGAAGCACAUCAGGUCAACUUGAAAAAGAUGCAAUGGAUAUAUUUGACAAUUUCAUUGACCCUCUUGCUGGCGUUGCAACAACAUUUAGACAGGACAGUGUUAUUAAGAAGCAGUUUAGCUGUUUGGAAGCGUAGGAAACUCCAAUUGCUUGAACCAUAUGCAGGAUGAAGUGUGGAGGAUCGGGUUCGAGCUCAGGCUCUGUCGUAGCCGGCUGCGACCGGGAGGCCCAUGGGGCAGCGCACAAUUGGCCCAGCGUCGUCCGGGUUAGGGAGGGUUUGGCCGGCAGGGAUAUCCUUGUCUCAUCGCGCACUAGCGACUCCUGUGCCGGGCCGGGCGCAGUGCACGCUGACCAGGUCGCCAGGUGUACAGUGUUUCCUCCGACUCAUUGAUGCGGCUUGCUUCCGGGUUGGAUGUGCAUUGUGUCAAGAAGCAGUGAGGCUUGGUUGGUUUGUGUUUCAGAGGACGCAUGGCUCUCGACCUUCGCCUCUCCCGAGUCCGUACGGGAGUUGCAUCGAUGAGACAAGACUGUAACUACUACCAAUUGAAUACCACGAAAUUGGGGAGAAAAAAAUAAAAAAUAAAGAAAGAAAUGUGGAGGAUCAAAAUACAUUUUCAUCAAAGACAAAUUAUUUUAUUACGUACCAUUAGUCAAAAGUCUAGAACAGUUCUUAUCACACCCUAGGAUUUUGUCUAUGGUUGAAAAGGGACCCCAGAUGUGCAGGGAAAGUUUUUUUCAUGACAUUGUUGAUGGUGCUCUUCUAAAAUCACAUCCCUUAAUUUCAGAGUAGCCAAAUGCAUUGCAGAUUGUUCUGUACACAAAUACACAAAUAGAAAUCUGUAAUCCACUAGGAUCCUUUGCAUCAAAAAACAAGUUGUUAAUGGUGUACUACACCCUAGGAAAUAUAAAUCCAAAAUACAGGUCUAAACUGGCUGCUAUCAGGCUUCUUGCCAUGGCUAGAUCAGCAGACCUCCGUCAAUCAGGUGUAGAUGUAAUAUUGAAUAGAGUCAAGGAAGACAUGGAUGCAUUGUACAGUGGGGUUAAAAUGCUAACUAUUAACGGAGAGAAAACGAUAUAUGGUGCCAUGGUCUCUUUCUGUGGAGACACCCUGGCACAACAUGAACUAGCACGGUUCAAAGAGAGUGUGGGCUUUGCCUACAGUAAAUGCAGACACUGAGUGUUCUUUUGAGGACAUGCAGUUACACUUCAAUGAGGAUGCAUAUACUAAAAGGACAUUGGAGAAGCAUGUCAGACAGUGUGAUGAAAUAGAAAAGGGACAGACUGACUUGCUUCGCAACAGCCUGAGAACAACAUAUGGGAUCAAUAGAAGGAGCAAGUUAGUUGAAUUCCCAGCCUUUUGAUAUCAUACAACAAACUCCGCAAGACAUUAUGCAUGUAAUAAGGGAGGGUAUAGCCCCAUUGGAAAUCAAAUGUGUUUUGAAUCAUCUUGUUGCGUCAGGACAUAUUGAUCUGGACUCAGUGAAUUCUGAUAUUCUUGGUUUCCCUUAUUCCCCUCUAGAUGUUAGAGAUCUUCCAUCCCCAAUUUCUGUUAGUACAUUAACGUCAAGUGAUGGUUAACUAAAACAGUCAUCUGGGCAAAUGCUUGUCCUGCUAAAGAUAUUGCCAUUUGUUUUGGAGAGUUUGGAAGUCAAUGCAUAUAUACGACCGAUAAUUGAGCAAAUAGAGACUGUACAGAUAGUAUUUGCACCUGUUCUUUCCAUUGUGACUGUGUCUAGGUUGAAGUUACUCAUUGAAAAUCAUUUGAAGCAUUGAAAGGAGCUUUUUCCAGACUGCAAUGUUACACCUAAACAGCAUUAUAUAAUACAUUUGCCAUCACAGAUAAAGUCAUUGGGUCCAAUGGUUAGACAUAUGUGUGUGCGGUUCGAGUCUAAACAUUGUUUCCUUAAACAAUGGGCUUCCAAGCUCCAUUUAAAAAAUAUUUGCAAGUCUUAGAUCAAUCAGAACCAAAUAUAUGAAAGCUGCCAAAAUGUUGACAGUUCAAUGCACCCAAUAUUUUAAAAUGAAAGGGAGAUGGGACCAGAGGUUAAAGAUCUACAAUAUUUGCGUGGAAAAUUGAGGGACUGAAGUGAACCAUGCUGUAUCAGUCAAAGGGCUUGUAAUACAUUCUAAUAAAUACAUAACUCAGAAGUCCAUGAUCUUUGCCAAAGUACUUAAUGGUAAUAUGCCAGAAUUUGGACUGGUAAAAAAACAUAUUUCUUGUUGAUUCUAGGCUUUAUUGUUAGGAAUAUCAACCAUUUCAAACUAUACACUUUGAUAGAAAUGUCAUGGCUUAUCAAGUUGAGGUCCCACACCUCAGGCACAGGCCACUGGUUGAUUUUACCUCUUAUUACAAAAUUAGCAACAAGAGCCAAACCUAUGUACAAGUCAAAUACCAUCUUGGGGAUGUAAUAGAAUUGUACAACAGUUCAAAUGACUCAGUGUGUUCUCCAGAUAUGAAAGUGUACUGUCUUUGCUCUGUACUGUAUUUUGUCUACAUGAUUUAUGUGCUGUGUGUAAGAUUGACAAUAAAACAGGGAAUUCCAUUUGGUCAUUA